CCUAAUACAUGCAAGUCGAACGCUUCUUUCCUCCCNGAGUGCUUGCACUCAACUGGAAAGAGGAGUGGCGGACGGGUGAGUAACACGUGGGUAACCUACCCAUCAGAGGGGGAUAACACUUGGAAACAGGUGCUAAUACCGCAUAACAGUUUAUGCCGCAUGGCAUAAGAGUGAAAGGCGCUUUCGGGUGUCGCUGAUGGAUGGACCCGCGGCGUAUUAGCUAGUUGGUGAGGUAACGGCUCACCAAGGCAAUGAUACGUAGCCGAACUGAGAGGUUGAUCGGCCACAUUGGGACUGAGACACGGCCCAAACUCCUACGGGAGGCAGCAGUAGGGAAUCUUCCACAAUGGACGCAAGUCUGAUGGAGCAACGCCGCGUGAGUGAAGAAGGCUUUCGGGUCGUAAAACUCUGUUGUUGGAGAAGAAUGGUCGGCAGAGUAACUGUUGUCGGCGUGACGGUAUCCAACCAGAAAGCCACGGCUAACUACGUGCCAGCAGCCGCGGUAAUACGUAGGUGGCAAGCGUUAUCCGGAUUUAUUGGGCGUAAAGCGAGCGCAGGCGGUUUUUUAAGUCUGAUGUGAAAGCCC
rnacentral:rRNA from 1 species